rnacentral:rRNA from 1 species
AUGGCCAAGUCGCAGAACCACACAACGCACAACCAGUCGUACAAGGCACACAGUAACAGCAUCCAGAAGCCGAAGCGCCAGCGCCAGGCCACCACCAAGGGGUACGUUCAUCCUGCUUCCCCCCUGCAGCCCCUGAGAUCCACAUAUAGUAUCUAA